rnacentral:rRNA from 1 species
GGCCAGACUCUACGGGAGGCAGCAGUGGGGAAUAUGACAAUGGGGGGAACUGAUCAGCAUGCCGCGUGUGUGAAGAAGCUAUGGUGUAAAGCACUUUAAGCGAGGAGGAGGCUCUUUUGGUUAAUACCCAAGAUGAGUGGACGUUACUCGCAGAAUAAGCACCGGCUAACUCUGUGCCAGCAGCCGCGGUAAUACAGAGGGUGCAAGCGUUAAUCGGAUUUACUGGGCGUAAAGCGCGCGUAGGCGGCCAAUUAAGUCAAAUGUGAAAUCCCCGAGCUUAACUUGGGAAUUGCAUUCGAUACUGGUUGGCUAGAGUGUGGGAGAGGAUGGUAGAAUUCCAGGUGUAGCGGUGAAAUGCGUAGAGAUCUGGAGGAAUACCGAUGGCGAAGGCAGCCAUCUGGCCUAACACUGACGCUGAGGUGCGAAAGCAUGGGGAGCAAACAGGAUUAGAUACCCUGGUAGUCCAUGCCGUAAACGAUGUCUACUAGCCGUUGGGGCCUUUGAGGCUUUAGUGGCGCAGCUAACGCGAUAAGUAGACCGCCUGGGGAGUACGGUCGCAAGACUAAAACUCAAAUGAAUUGACGGGGGCCCGCACAAGCGGUGGAGCAUGUGGUUUAAUUCGAUGCAACGCGAAGAACCUUACCUGGCCUUGACAUAGUAGAAACUUUCCAGAGAUGGAUUGGUGCCUUCGGGAAUCUACAUACAGGUGCUGCAUGGCUGUCGUCAGCUCGUGUCGUGAGAUGUUGGGUUAAGUCCCGCAACGAGCGCAACCCUUUUCCUUACUUGCCAGCAUUUCGGAUGGGAACUUUAAGGAUACUGCCAGUGACAAACUGGAGGAAGGCGGGGACGACGUCAAGUCAUCAUGGCCCUUACGGCCAGGGCUACACACGUGCUACAAUGGUCGGUACAAAGGGUUGCUACCUAGCGAUAGGAUGCUAAUCUCAAAAAGCCGAUCGUAGUCCGGAUUGGAGUCUGCAACUCGACUCCAUGAAGUCGGAAUCGCUAGUAAUCGCGGAUCAGAAUGCCGCGGUGAAUACGUUCCCGGGCCUUGUACACACCGCCCGUCACACCAUGGGAGUUUGUUGCACCAGAAGUAGCUAGCCUAACUGCAAAGAGGGCGGUUACCACGGGGGCCCG